rnacentral:lncRNA from 1 species
UUCUGAUUCUUACAGCUGAAGUAAACAAUUUAUUCUGAUUCUUAUUCUCUAUUCCGAUUUCAGCCCAUUCUGAUUCCACUCUAUUCCGAUUUUAGCUUAUUUUGGUUACUGAUUAGUAAACACACUAUAAAUAUACAAGCUAUCUGGAACAAUUACAAAGAGAAAGUCAAAAGAAAAUAAAUGAAGGAGAUGUUUAAACAGAUUUUGUGGGUAGUAGUUAUCUAGUGGAUUGGUAGUUAUUAUCAUUAUGUCCAUUUCAUCACUGCAUUCCAAAAGUCAUCAUUCAAUUUUGCAUGUGUUCCAUAAUUAUCAUGCUUGUAUGCUAUGUCUGCAAGAGGACUAUUGUGCUGAAUUAAACACUCAAUAUCCAUGCAAUUCAAGCAAAGGUUACUACGGCCAGGGACCAAUUCAACUAUCUUAGAAUUUCAACUACGGACCUGACAGAAACAUCAUUAGCUUCGACGAAUUAAACGCGCCAGCAACUGUUGCCAAUUAUCCAAUUAUAGCAUUCAAGAUUGCUUUAAGGUUCUGGACAAACAAUGUUCAUUUGGGGCAACCAUUCGGGCCAUUAACGAUGAACUUGAAUGUGAUGGUGGAAACCCUAGCAUUGUUCAGUCUCGCAUUAGGUACUUCUCUCAGUACUACAACCAAUUGAGAGUUUCUACUGGAGAUAAUCUCACUUGUUAAGAUCAUCAUAGAAACUGUAGUGACAAAAAAAAAAAAAGAAUUAUCAAGUCAUCAAUAAUAGAUGAUUUAUAUAAAUAAUAAAUCUAUUAGUUGCAAUUCUAUAACUUUACAAAUAAUAUCUGCAUAACAGAAUUAUCAAGUCAUCAAUAAUAGAUGAUCAAAAAAAAAAAAAGAAUUAUCAAGUCAUCAAUAAUAGAUGAUUUAUAUAAAUAAUAAAUCUAUUAGUUGCAAUUCUAUAACUUUACAAAUAAUAUCUGCAUAACUAGAAGGUUGUAGAAGAAUUAUAAAUAAUGCACAACCCUGUUCUGAACCUUUUAGAAUAAUAAAACAUAAAAAUUGUCUUUAAUCCCAUUGGAUAUUUGUUUAGAUCAAUCAGUUUUGCAUGUUUGCUUUGCAAGUUAGCGUGUUUGUUCAGCAUACGUGUUUAGGUUAUUAAAAAAAGAAAAGAAAAGAAAAAAGAAAUCUCGAAGGACCAUUUUAUGGGGAGACAGAAGAAGAAGGCAUUGUUCAGAGUCUGUACAAUUUGAAUAUUUCAAACAGAAAUUUAGCAUGAACAAACUUCAACUUCUUGAGGAGGAAAGAACAGCAAGAUUUAGAAGAAAUAUGACAUAAGACACCAAAGAAACAGGACUUCGCCAUCAUUAUCAAGACUUUGAAGGAUUAAUUUCUACAUCAAGAUAUCACAAGUCAUGUUGAAAUUUUAUAGAGACUAUAAAAUUUGUUUGGAAGCUAGGA